rnacentral:lncRNA from 1 species
GCAGGAAGACUUUCAAAAAUAUUUAAUGAUUUAUUUGGUUUUGCUGGGUCUUCAUUGCAGCAUGUGAAAUCUAAUUCCCUGACCAAAGAUUGAACCCCAGCCCCCUGCACUGGGAGUGUGAAUCCUAGCCAUUGGACCAUCAGGGAAGUACCAGGAUUCAGGAAGAUUUUUAAAAGAAGGUGGAAAGGAGCACCCAUGCUAUGGAACCAGAGGCCUCUGGGAUCAUCAGCAGCUCAUUCAAGUGGCAGUUCAGGUAUAGCCAAGGGCCACAUGAAGAAUCACAUGUCACCAGCAAGAACCUGAAGAAAAACAGAAAAUUAAGUCCUGCUGCCCUAACACCUACUCCCUGGUUUGACAUCCAGGGACCUUGCCAUGGAAAUGCUCAUGGGUUGGAGUGGAGAGGUACAGAAUGGUCUGCUGUGAUGUACGAAAUCCUUGGUUUGGGGGACGUUAAGAGAGUCAAACCCUGA